UAAUUAGAAUUAACAUAGUAUAGAAAAAUUCAAUACCGCUGUAAGUUAAGGUAGGCUUUUUAACUAGUAGGCAUUUGAUUUUUGCAUUGUAAUUAAUAGGACUGACAUUAUUAAUUGUACACAUUUGCAUAACACGUUUAUAUUGGAGGGUCAAAAAAAAAAAACCAGUUUAUACCAACAUUUGUUUCGCGGUCUAACAAACAUUCUGUAUACAAAAUUUGGUUUUAUAUAUUUCGGAAUUUUCGCAUAUUUAAGGCUUAUUCUAGGAUUUUGUACAUU